CAUCGACUCACGCGUUCACCUCCUUCCGGUCUAAAUGGGUGGUGAUUUGCUUUCUGGGGUGUGUUUUUCACAGUGAUGGUGGAUCCACAAAUUUCAAACAAAUUCUUUCUCCACCAGUUCUGUUCGGUUCUAUUUUGGUGGGGCCCACGCGUCAUCACAGAGUAUCUGGGAGCCCUGCCCUCUUGCAGAUGGGAAUGAAGGCCCAGGUGCUCUGGAGAGGUGACUCUCCUCUAGGUGUCUCGCUUCUCAGAAAGGAAACACUGGUUCUGUAAACCUGUUUGAGAAGAAAAGCUCGAGGUUUCUUGGCCUCUCUGCUUCUGGAGCCAGGGGAAAAAAUAGCCCCAGGCUGAAGACAGGAGGGACCAGAUUGCUGCUUGGUGAUGCGAUCUCACUGCAGAGGCAGCCAGGAGACCCUCCUGAGACGAAUCGGAGAGUCCAUGCUGCUUUUACACACAUCCUAGUUCUUUUAUAACUAGCCUUUUCCUAUUAACGGACAUCAUUCAAAAGCCAGUUUUAAGCAACAUAAAUAUUGAAAACAAUACUAUACUAUUUAGAAUUAAUUAUAAGUUUUGUUUUUAAAGCCUAAAUCUUUUAUUGUUGUUUGAACCCUGGGCACUGAAGCUAAUAAUGUAACUUUUCUCCCUUCUUUCUUCUUUGGCAUAGAUUUAAAGAACUGUUAGACUCAUUUAAAAUGCUAUUAGGCAUUUUAAAGAGUAAUUGUUAAAUGUGUUGUCUCUUGUGGGACUGGAAAUGUUCUGUUCUUAUCUGGCGCUGGUUACAUCCUGUUUUUCAUUUGGGAAAGUGCAUUGAGCUGGAAAUUUAUAUGUUCAAUUUCUGUAUGUAAAUUGUACUUCAGUAAAAAUUUUCAAAAAAG
rnacentral:lncRNA from 10 species